AAGAACCGUAUGACGGAAGACUGUCAUGUACGGAUCUGUUGGAGCCCCGGGCUGAGAUGCCGGGGCCACCAGAC
rnacentral:ncRNA from 1 species